UACGUAGGGGGCAAGCGUUGUCCGGAAUUAUUGGGCGUAAAGAGCUCGUAGGCGGUGUGUCGCGUCGGCCGUGAAAACCUGCAGCUUAACUGUGGCUUGCGGUCGAUACGGGCAUCACUGGAGUUCGGCAGGGAGACUGGAAUUCCGUGGUGUAGCGGUGAAAUGCGCAGAUAUCAGGAGGAACACCGGUGGCGAAGGCGGGUCUCUGGGCCGAUACUGACGCUGAGGAGCGAAAGCGUGGGGAGCGAACAGG
rnacentral:rRNA from 1 species